rnacentral:rRNA from 1 species
AUUGAACGCUGGCGGCAUGCUUUACACAUGCAAGUCGAACGGAAACAUGAAAGAGCUUGCUCUUUUGAUGUCGAGUGGCGAACGGGUGAGUAAUAUAUCGGAACAUGUCCUUUUGUGGGGGAUAACUACUCGAAAGAGCAGCUAAUACCGCAUAAGACCUAAGGGUGAAAGCGGGGGAUCUUCGGACCUCGCGCAGAUGGAGUGGCCGAUGACUGAUUAGCUAGUUGGUGGGGUAAAGGCCUACCAAGGCGACGAUCAGUAGCUGGUCUGAGAGGACGACCAGCCACAGUGGGACUGAGACACGGCCCAAACUCCUACGGGAGGCAGCAGUGGGGAAUUUUGGACAAUGGGGGGAACCCUGAUCCAGCCAUGCCGCGUGCAGGAAGAAGGCCUUCGGGUUGUAAACUGCUUUUGUUAGGAACGAAAAGGUGGAUACUAAUAAUGUCUACUGAUGAUGGUACCUAAAGAAUAAGCACCGGCUAACUACGUGCCAGCCGCCGCAGUAAGAC